AGUGAACGCUGGCGGUAGGCCUAACACAUGCAAGUCGAACGGCAGCACAGUAAGAGCUUGCUCUUACGGGUGGCGAGUGGCGGACGGGUGAGGAAUACAUCGGAAUCUACUUUUUCGUGGGGGAUAACGUAGGGAAACUUACGCUAAUACCGCAUACGCCCUACGGGUGAAAGCAGUGGAUCUUCGGACCUUGCGCGAUUGAAUGAGCCGAUGUCGGAUUAGCUAGUUGGGGGGGUAAAGGCCCACCAAGGCGACGAUCCGUAGCUCGUCUGAGAGGAUGGUCGGCCGCACUGGAGCGUGGACAGGGACAAGGCGACUAAGAAAGGGAGCAGUGGGGAAUGUUGGACAAUGGGCGCAAGCAUGACACAGCGGGACCGAGUGGGUGGAGAAGACGUUCGGGUUGUAAAGACGUUUUGUUGGGAGAGAAAAGCAGUAGGUUGAGACGAAGCUGUAGUGACGGUACCCAAAGAAUAAGCACCGGCUAACUUCGUG
rnacentral:rRNA from 1 species